GACGAACGCUGGCGGCGUGCUUAACACAUGCAAGUCGAACGGAAAGGCCUGCUUUCCCUUGUGGAUUGCGGGUACUCGAGUGGCGAACGGGUGAGUAACACGUGAGUGAUCUGCCCCCAACUUGGGUAUAAGCCUGGGAAACUGGGUCUAAUUCCCGAUAGGACUGCAGGGUGGUGCCUGUGGUGGAAAACGAUUUUCUAGUGGUUGGGGAUGAGCUCGCGGCCUAUCAGCUUGUUGGUGGGGUAAUGGCCUACCAAGGCGGGGACGGGUAGCCGGCCUGAGAGGGUGGACGGCCACAUUGGGACUGAGAUACGGCCCAGACUCCUACGGGAGGCAGCAGUGGGGAAUAUUGCACAAUGGGCGGAAGCCUGAUGCAGCGACGCCGAGUGGGGGAUGACGGCCUUCGGGUUGUAAACUCCUUUCGACCGCGAGGAAGCCACCUGGUUGGAAGGGUGGUGACGGUAGUGGUAGAAGAAGCACCGGCUAACUACGUG
rnacentral:rRNA from 1 species